GACAGAGGGUGCGAACGUUGUUCGGAAUUACUGGGCGUAAAGCGCGUGUAGGCGGCAGCGCAAGUCGGGCGUGAAAUCCCACGGCUCAACCGUGGAAGUGCACUCGAAACUGCGCAGCUAGAGUCCUGGAGAGGAGGGUGGAAUGCUUGGUGUAGAGGUGAAAUUCGUAGAUAUCAAGCGGAACACCGGUGGCGAAGGCGGCCUUCUGGACAGUGACUGACGCUGAGACGCGAAAGCGUGGGGAGCAAACAGG
rnacentral:rRNA from 1 species